AAGGGGUCAGAGUGAUAUCACCGUUUUCUCAAAUGUGAGAAUGAACACUGGCAAGAUAAAGUGACUUAUUCAAACGUACCCAGAGAGCUGAUGAGAAAGUCAAGCCUAGGAAGCAUACACACUAAAUAAUGUCACUGGAGACAAGACGUAGCCCCAUUUUCCAUCUUGUAGUCCCAGUCUCAACCUCUGGUUUAUUCUCCUGAGAAUCAAUAAUGAUACAG
rnacentral:lncRNA from 1 species